GAUGAACGCUGGCGGCGUGCUUAACACAUGCAAGUCGAACGAGAAGUGAAUACUGACACCUGCUGGCGGAAGGCUUUAUUUCUAGUGGCGGACGGGUGAGUAACGCGUGGGUAACCUGCCUCAUACAGGGGGAUAACAGUUGGAAACGACUGGUAAUACCGCAUAAGACCACAGCACGGCAUGUUUCGGGGGUAAAGACUCCGGUGGUAUGAGAUGUACCCGCGUUCGAUUAGCCAGUUGGCGGGGUAACGGCCCACCAGAGCGACGAUGGAUAGCCGAGAUGAGAGCAUGACAGACCAGAUUGGGACUGAGACCCGGACCACACUCCUACGGGAGACAGCAGUAGGGAAUAUUACACACUGGGGCAAAACCUGAUGCAGCGACGCCGGGUGAGUCAGGAAGUAUUUCGGUAUGUAAAGCUCUAUCAGCAGGGAAGAAAAUGACGGUAACUGAGAAAGAAGCACCGGCUAACUACGUG
rnacentral:rRNA from 1 species